UUCUCCGACUCGUAGUAUUGUGUGACAAAAAGAACGCAACAACCCUGCGGUUAUUCAUUUUUCGACAUGGAUGUGACGUCACACUCAAGCUACUAGUCGCGAUUACAAGAAUGCCUCGCAAAUCACAUCGGACUGACUCUCGUCGUCUUGCUUGAAUCCAAAAUACUUCCACACCACCGAAUGUGAGCCUUUUUUCGGAACGAGUUUCGUUUGAGACUGAGUGGUUGGCUGAUUCUCGUCACUAGUACCUGGGUUUUCAUCAACAUCCAUUUGGUUUAUUUCUGAACUUCUGCGCUCGCUAGACAAGUGAAACAUGUGACUAAAAGGCGCUUAGUCAUUGGCUGAGGGUGAAGACCUAAACUGUGUGAGUGAUGUCCUACCAAAAUAAAGGCCAAAAAUGCCCUUCACUGAGAUGAACGUGAGACGCUAGAUGCAAAACAUGUCCGCCAAGCUUAAGUUGUUAACUUUCUUCUUUGUAAAACUGCAACAUAUUGAACAGUAAAUGUUCACAGUAAAAACAAGCGUUUUGGGUCAUCAUUCAAAGCCAUUCCACUACAUAGACACACACACGCACACAAAGAGACACACAUAUACAUACACACACACAUACACCCAAAGACACACACACACACAGAGACACACGCACGCACACAGACACACAAGCACACACAGAGACACAAGCACGCGCACACACACACACAAACAAACACACACACCCCCGCUAAGCCUCAGUGGUUACAAUACUGUACUGUUGUGUUCCAAGGUGAACAUCACUACUAUGUAACAAUCACCUAUAGGCCUACAGUCCUAAGGGAAUACCUAUUAAAUAAGAACCUUUGUUUAUGUAGAAAACAGCCCCGAAAUCCCCAUUACCAAACCCACCAGACCCAUGUAAAUAAUCGAGAGGGGGUUGUAGCCGAUUCUGUGGUCUGUCCCGGGACCAUGGUCUCUGGCAGGGACCAGUGGUCACAACCACUAGGGGCGCUAGAGACACUGGUCGCGACCAGCUCCUCAGUGGUCUGCCCUGUGGUCCCUGUGGUCUGUGAAGCGGCUUUAGUAUUGUCAAACCCUUUCCUGUCGUUUUGGCAGCACUGUUAGCUGGAUAAAUGUCAGAGAUCACAAUCUUUUGUUUAUAAAAUACACUAUAUCAUAUAUAUUAUGAUUAUUAUUGUUAUUAUUAUUGAUAAUGGAGAUCCGUGUGGUCAGGACCAGUGGUCACAACCACUAGGGGUGCUAGAGACACUGGUUGCGACCAGCUUCUUACUGGCACAAAGGGCACUAAAAUGACUGGUCCUGACCACCUCCUCUGUGAUCUGUUCUGUUGUUUGGACCAGUUGAGUGAUCUGUGGAGUGUUUAUUUUUAAUACAACUUUUCACGUUUCUCUGUUAUGGUCCGGCACUGUUGUCCCUGUCCCUGCUUGUUUUCCUCUUCCCUUUUUCCCCUGUGUGUGUUGUCAGUCUCUGUCUCCUGCUGUGCAGCCCAUUCAGAGGAUCUAGGUCAGGGGGCGUGGCCAUUCUCUCUCCUGCUCUGUUACCUCCAGCUGCAGCUCAUUGUCAUCAAUAAACAUGCAGUUAUCUACCCGGGCUGGUCACCUCUCCAGCGCCAGUUCGUUCCUACACCACCUGUGAUCCCGUCUGUACCUGCUGCCUGCCUGCCUGCCACUCCCACGCCGCACCCUGCUCAUCUGUUGUCUGAUAUCCUCGUCAUCCAGCUCUCAGUGCUACUGGCUCUCCACCCCACUCAGCUCCUAUCCCGGUCUGAAGCUGCUCCACCCUGAACUGUUUCCCUCUGCCAAAACACGCUGAAUAAAUAACAUCUUAAUUCUC